GCCUGGCAUGAAUACCUCCGGCGAUCUCCUUAUCGCACGAUAUAUUUCCCGAAAUGUCGCCGGAAAUAGAGACGACGAUCCGCCACUCCCGAGCUCUGGAAUCUCUCAAGGAAUCCUCAGCGAGGAGUCCUCCCUACAUGGUAGGAGGAGGGACCGGAGAUCGAGCCAACAUUGGUACGACCAGACGAGAUCAGGGCUCUCUAUUGCUCAACCUCGUCGCCCGUUAAGAAACUCGAUCCUAUCAUCCCAGUGAAGUUACUCGAGUAUGAUACAAUGCUUUGAACAGUAUGAUCGCUGCUUUAUAUUCUAUGACUACAUUCUGCCAGAAGAGUUGCCGCCACCAUCAAAGCAAACCUCUCCAAUUACUGUGGCACAUCACCCUUAUAUUGUAAAUAGGACAGAGAAAGAGAGGGCAUUAUGUGAAGUUUCAAAGUCUAGAAAAUUAAAUCCUGAGAAAUAUUUGCUGUUCUCAUGGUCUUUCAAAAAUAUUGUAUAUUCCAAUGAACCAGUAAUUUUUGUAUUUGUCUCUUUAAAUUCAAAUUUAUAAAGUACCAAAGGAUGUUUUCCA